ACCAAUUCUGGAGGAUAAAUCAGUUCCUCUUGGUGUAAUGGCUCGGACGCAAAAUUAAAUUUUGUGGCAAUUAUCCUGAUCCAUGAAUUUUUCAAACCGUGUCAUUGAUCGUGGAAACACCACAUACAUGU
rnacentral:snoRNA from 1 species